AACGAACGCUGGCGGCAGGCCUAACACAUGCAAGUCGAGCGAGGACUUCGGUCCUAGCGGCGGACGGGUGAGUAACGCGUGGGAACGUGCCCUUUGCUACGGAAUAGCCCUGGGAAACUGGGAGUAAUACCGUAUGAGCCCUUUGGGGGAAAGAUUUAUCGGCAAAGGAUCGGCCCGCGUUGGAUUAGGUAGUUGGUGGGGUAAUGGCCUACCAAGCCGACGAUCCAUAGCUGGUUUGAGAGGAUGAUCAGCCACACUGGGACUGAGACACGGCCCAGACUCCUACGGGAGGCAGCAGUGGGGAAUCUUAGACAAUGGGCGCAAGCCUGAUCUAGCCAUGCCGCGUGAGCGAUGAAGGCCUUAGGGUUGUAAAGCUCUUUCAGUGGGGAAGAUAAUGACGGUGCCCACAGAAGAAGCCCCGGCUAACUCCGUGCCAGCCGCCGCAGUAAAAC
rnacentral:rRNA from 1 species